rnacentral:misc_RNA from 1 species
GAGUGAGGGCCCUCUGGGUCCAACCUCCCACCCGUGUUUAUUUACCUUGUUGCUUCGGCGGGCCCGCCUUAACUGGCCGCCGAAGACACCCUCGAACUCUGUCUGAAGAUUGUAGUCUGAGUGAAAAUAUAAAUUAUUUAAAACUUUCAACAACGGAUCUCUUGGUUCC